rnacentral:lncRNA from 1 species
GAGUAAGGCAUAAAUGUAAAAAUAAAGGAGUAUGGGGCUACUAUCACAAGUUCAAAUUAGUUGGCUCUGCUAUUUGAAACCCUCAGAAGUCCAGGAACCCUUAGAAUUUGGGUAGUCCCGUGCCCCACUGUAGGCAAUGAGUGUUUUUGUUGGCAUCUUGUUGAUGAGACAGGGGUAAAACAUGGAAAAAGCAGUAUCUCGUUUGUGUAGUGGAUGGCUGGUAUCAUCUUCUGGAGUAAUAUGUGGGCCACGGGGGCCAGCCCAGGAGGACUGUAAGCUCCUUGUAGUUUGUCCUCUUCUCUAGACUUUGGGAAGCAUGCUAGGUAUCGAGAGUCCGAGUAUGUGUGCUAGCUAGGGCCUCAGAGGAAGCGCUGGCUGCUGGGAAAGAGAGGUGUCAGGACUCCUCACACUGGGCCACAAUGGUUCCAGACCGCGAGGGCUUCAUCCGUGAAGUGGAAUUACAACGCAGCCUCUGUUGAAACGGGCUGUGAUGGCUGUGGGCAGUUGAGUAGGAAAGCACCAAGAGCCAGGGGCUUAGCUUGGGUCAAUAAACGACAGCCGACUGGCUAGGAGAAAGCCAGCAUUGUGAGGGUCCAACGGCAGUCGGCCGCGGGAGAGCCACAACUGGAACGGGAUCCUGUCAGAGCAGUGUGUCAUAUUUGUUCUGGCAGCUUCUUUGGUAAAGCCACGCUAAGCUCCAUCUGGGAUACUGUCAGGUAUGAAAACCCACUUCAUCUUCUGCAGACGCCUUUCACAGGCCUCGAGGCACUGGCGGUUAAUCUGUUUAGAUUGUGAGGCCGCCAGAGACACCGCCCCUCUGUGGAAGGCUGCCACAGCUCAGGGGGGACUCUGAUUUGCUUUAUUUCAUUUUUUUCCCCCUCUGGAAAAGCAGGCUUCUCUGAAUUAAGACUCAAUCCACUGGGCCAAGAAUUUGUGGUCGCCAUGGUAACCCUGCCUUUUCUACCUGAGAAGGUUCUGUUCCUUUCUCACAAGGCUGUUUUUUUUUUUUUUUUCUGAGACCCCACCCCAGCUAGGUCCCCCCGUGGGCUCAUAUGACCACUUUGGAGAGGGUGUUGGAUGUACAGUGUGCCAAUGUCCCUGUGGAUAGUGUCAUCCCUAUUGUCCCCUGCUGUCCUCCUUGUUUAGGCCCGACUCAAACAAUUGUUUAUAAAGUGGGCAAAAUCGGGCUUUAGCAGUCGGCCCUCCAGCCACCACAGCUCUCCUUUUCUCCUGGAGGUAAAGCUGCCAGACUUCUCCUGGAGCAGCACAGACAGCAGUUACGGUGAAGGUUCCAGAAUUCAAGGGCCUUCGUUUGAAAUGGAGCUUCGCCGCCAUUGAGUUCAUUUCCUGGGAACCUUACUGUGUCCCAUGACAGAAGCCCACAUGGUGAUGCCUUACAAAUUAAGAACUCACCUUUCUUCAGUUCUGCAUGAAGAGGAGAUGGUCCAGAGGAUGUGGCAAUGAUACAGAUACAACCAGAGAAGAAGUUGGUGUUCUUUUCUAAACCAUGGUAAAAAUAACAGGACAUCAUGUAGGAUGAGCGAGUACCAGAAGUUUAGAGGGUGAUGUCCAAGAAAUAAAAGAAUGCUCCAGGAGUCUGAGAUGAAUUCUCCACAGAUCCUUACCCGUCUGGAAGAUUAUGUAUGCCUGGGGGAGUCUCAAAAGAACCGAGGAAACGUAAACAUGAAGGAGGAUUGAGAAAAGGCUGCAAUGUUCUCUGUCCCUCAUACAGACCUAGAGGAAAAUUAUGGCAACCUGGCUGGUCCUGGGCCAGUGCUGUUCCCUUGGCUCUAUACAUCUAAGGCAUCGAAGACUCCCAAGGAUACGGAGUGACUCUGGGUAUCAGCUUAGCACAUGUUAUUUUAGGUGUUUCAACAGUGACACCAUUGAGGUAGUGUGGCUUAGUGAAGGAAUGUGGGCUUGGACGGGAUAGAAUGGGGUUGUCAUUCCACAGUUAUAAGUUAAUAUUCUUAUUAACUUGGGCAAUCAUGUGACUACUCAGUAUCCUAUUUAAAUCUUAUAAAUGCCCACUGAAGUAGGCAUGGACUACUUCUGUGUUGUGGAUACUUUUUAAGUCUGCGGAAUAGUUAUUUUGGGUGAUGAUUAAAAAGUCAUAAUGGCUAUAAAGUAUGUGUCACAUGAUAGGUGACCUAUAAAUAGCUGUAUUGUUGCUGUUAGUCCUGGUGUAGAAAAGAACUGUCAGACCGAUAAGCCCAGAGAAUUUAACCUCUCAGAGAGUCACACGGAAAAACACUGGAUAUUAAUAGUAUAGGUGAAGCAACUACACUGUCUGUAAGUGUCCAACCUUGGCUUUAACAAAUGACUAUAAAGUUUAUGGCUUAAGACAAUGUA